UACGUAGGGUGCAAGCGUUAAUCGGAAUUACUGGGCGUAAAGCGUGCGUAGGCGGCUAUGUAAGACAGAUGUGAAAUCCCUGGGCUUAACCUAGGAACUGCAUUUGUGACUGCAUUGCUAGAGUGUGGUAGAGGGAGGUAGAAUUCCACGUGUAGCAGUGAAAUGCGUAGAGAUGUGGAGGAAUACCGAUGGCGAAGGCAGCCUCCUGGGCCAACACUGACGCUCAUGCACGAAAGCGUGGGGAGCAAACAGG
rnacentral:rRNA from 1 species